AUGAACGCUGGCGGAAUGCCUAACACAUCAAGUCGAACGAGCUUUAUUGGAUCCCUUCGGGGGGAAUAUAUGGGCGACUUAUGGCGGACGGGUGAGUAACGGGUGAGCAAUCUGCCUUUAGGUGGGGGAUACACAUGUGGAAACAUGUAAUACCGCGAUAUGUUUUGGGGGGCAUCUUCUAACUACCAAAGUUUUUUCCCCUAUAUAUGAACUCGGUCUGAUUAGCUAGUUGGGGAGGUAAUGGCUCAUCAAGGCGACGAUCAGUAGCCGGACUGAGAGGUUGAACGGCCACAUUGGGACUGAGACACGGCCCAGACUCUUACGGGAGGCAGCAGUGGGGAAUAUUGCGCAAUGGGCGAAAGCCUGACGCAGCAAUUCCGCGUGGAGGAUGACGGUUUUCGGAUUGUAAACUCCUUUGAUCAGGGAAGAAUUUUUGACGGUACCUGAAGAACAAGCACCGGCUAACUACGUGCCAGCAGCCGCGGUAAUACGUAGGGUGCAAGCGUUAUCCGGAUUUACUGGGUGUAAAGGGCGAGUAGGCGGGACUGCCUGUAGUUCUUGAGUGAUGGAGAGGCAAGCGGGGGGCUGCAUUUGAAACUGUAGUUCUUGAGUGAUGGAGAGGCAAGCGGAAUUC
rnacentral:rRNA from 1 species